GGUCACAUGACAUCUGUCAUCAACUAUUUUGUCAGGCGCUGAGCUUUAUCGGUUUACAGCUAACAGUAUGUCAGUAUACGCUUGUGGCUGCUUGAAUGUUAAAAUCCAUACAAGGGACAUCCACCCAGUUGACAAUAUUGGUGAUGAUGGUUCACAACCAUUCCUUGGUCGGAAAGUUGCAGAGGCAAUGUUGGAUGACAAAGGCAUUGUCAUAGAGCAGUCUUACCUGCUGCACCGACAGAGCACCAGCUCAGGAUGGGUGCAGUACCAGUGUGUCAACUGCAACUGGCGCACACAUGCACUUCGUACAUCGGACUCUCGUUCUGUGCUCAUCAACCUCCAGCUGGAGUCCGACCCGUCGGUCCUCCUCCGUCUCACCCGGUCCCCGGACUUCUCCCUAGUCUACCACAUCGUCAUGCAGAAUGACAACUUCCACGAUGUUCCCAUGCCAGAUGGGUCUGUGUACGAGUCUCUGGCAUCAGGGGUCUCCACUGUGGAAGAUCAGGCUGACAAUCUUGUUGAGCAAGAACAGGCUGCUAUGGAAGAACGCAUCAGGAACUUUGAGCACGAACAGAGGACAGUGUUUGGGCAGCUUCAGGCAAGGUGCGACAAGGAGAAGGCCCAGAUGCUGCGCCUUUUGAUGAAGGCUGUCAAUGAUGUGCCGCAGUUAGACAGGGGAGACAACUCUCAGGGAAAGACUUCUGUUUCAGAAACAUCUAGAUCUCCCAGGUCGAUGACAAAUAGUGCCAAACCUUCUGUGGGAGGGCGCAGUGGUAGUACCAAGACACGAUCUUACAGUGAAUAUGAUCAGAACCCUGACUCUGAAGCUCUGUUCUAUCUUGAUGAGUUGGAGCCCGAGCUUGAGGAGCCUUUCUAUGAGUCGGAUGAUGAUGUGCCUGGAAAACUCUCUGAGAGUAGCUUGUCCCACAACCGGACUCAAUCUGGCAGCGGAAAGACUGAUCUCUACUCCACAUCAGUACCAAUCUCUGUCCCCAUGUGGCGAGGUCGAAGGUCAUCCAGCACAGAGGAAGAGGAGGAGGAAGAGGUGACCCCAGCUGACCCAGACCAGAUGGCAGCCAACAUGCAAGCACUGGCCCAGAGCAUCACCGACACUGGGCGCUACAUCUUUGGUGAACGUCCACGUCCUCGUCUAAACACCGGUGAUGCCAUGACCCGCUAUGCUGAACGGCCCCGACAGAGGCUCAACACAACUGACUCUGUCUAUUGCAGGAAGUGAAUCUUGAAUGACUGUGCGUUUCUACUUAAGGAUUGUCAUUGACAUUAUCACUAGUGUUGUGGUAUCAUAAAGAUGUUCUACUCUACCGGGUUGCGCCAGGAACAAGUGUCAGUAUGCUUCUUUCCUAGAUCUCUGAGACUCUUCAAGAACAAGUAGGGAAACAGCAUCUGUUGACUCAUUCCAUCUGAUCUCUUCUCAUACUCAGAUGACAUUGUCUCUCUAGGUUUUCACAAAAUAUCAAGGCUCAGGAUUUGGUAGUGAGUGAUCUCCCCUUCCAGUGUCAACUAAUUAAAACAUAUUUCAAGAAUCUUUUUGAACGGGUUGGUAGUAAAGAUAUUGGUACAAAGCGUUAGGACUGGUAAUAUCAUAAAGUUAUCAUUUGUGAGGGUUACCAAAUGUGAUUUAAAUACAUUUUGUAGGGUUUUUAUGUAGGGGGUUGACUCAUGGGAUCACUUCAGCAUUAUUCCAUCUCUUCUGUUGUUUCAUAUAAGAUGAUUAUCUGAAGGAUUACGUUAAGACAAAUCUUGAUCUGUUCGCAGAUCAAGUGCUUAACAUCAUUUGCUGUAGCUAGUCAUGAUUUUGUACAUAACUGGAAUAUGGAGUUUCCAUAGAAACAGCCAGAGUACAAGUGGUUGCACCACAGACAUUAUGGCUACUACACAAUCAAGUUAAGUACAUCAUAAACUAUCAGUAUCAGUCCAUGAUACAGGAUAGGAGGGUUCUGUACAUGUCAAGAGGUUUGUGUGCACGGUUUGAGAGAGGGCAUGGUUGUUUGCCCAGUGUAGUCAUGGCGAGAAGGAUACUAGCAGUGAGCAGACGUCCUUUGGUUUGCUGUCAAAUUCAUUUUUGGAAAACCUUCAUAUGAGGAAAAAAAUAAUUUCAUUACACAUUGUCAUCAUGAUUUUGUAAAAAAUGUCAUAUGUUGACUCCUAGUUGUAUGUAAAUUUAGUUGAAGGUGUCUAUAUUUAUCUUGUUUUUGUUUGCAAGGUUGAAUUUGCCUUGUCCAUUUCAUCAAAAGCAAGUGGCUUUUAUCUUCUGAAGCUGUUUGGACACAGACCUUGUUCAGUCUGGAAGAUUUGGGGAUGACACAAAUGUUCACCAACUCAUCAUAUUCACCAAUCACAGGAUGUGAGCAGUGUGAGACGUUGUAUGAUGCAGGUUACUGUAUACCAUUGAACCUAGUGUUGUAGUAAAGCAUUAUUAGAGUCAGCUGGAAAUGAUUUAUUUCUGAUUGCCAUACUGAUUUUUAGAACUCAAGUGCCAAUGUUAAAUUGUUCCUACUGUUUUUGUACCACUCAACGUUAACUAAGUGAAAUAGACAUCUUUACCCACAGAUGUGAUCCUUACAAAAUGUUGAAUAGUAUACCAUGUACAUAGCUCUGAGGAGUGUGCUAUUUGUUUUCACCUUUUAAUCAUCACCAACCUAUGAAUAUGGGAGUCAUCAGCAUGUAAAGUUUGUGUACAAACAUUGUGACUUUAUCCAGGGUUUAAAGAGAGGUCAUGUUUUUUUUCUUCAGAAAUUUCAGACAAGGUUCUAAAUUGUUUGAUAAACAUGCGAUGUGUUCUGGACGAGACCCUGCAUUUGUUCCAGCUAGUCCUGUACCAAUUUCAGACUAGUCAUUCCAUAACACCACGCCUUGACAAAUAUGCAAGUCUGUUAGACCAGUGCCAGGAUCCAGUUCCGCAGAGUGACUUAGCGACUGUUGAAAGUGACUGUAUGGGAGCUAGUCAUCUUAGCGUUAUGACUGUUGAAAGUAUCUUCGUGUUAUGGUUUUUCGGACACUUUUGUUAUCUUUUUAAUCGCUUGAAUAACUAUAAAAUGUCUCACAAACUUAUAAAGAUAACUUUAUCCUAAACACAAGCCAUCAUUCAAGAAUGUACUAUGUUUGUGUGAAUGAACACCCCUCGUUAUGGCCUGAGUAAACACUUCCCAUUUGAAAACACAUAUUGUCCGAAAACCUAUGAUGAAACGAUAACUUUAUUGCUCAACAUUUGAGAAGUGCACUGAGCUAUUUCAUGCUGCUGCAUAAGUAGAGGACCGCGACUGGGGUACUUGAGUUGUGUACUGACUUUCCAUAACUGAAUAUGCUCCAGUCAUAUGGGAUACUGUUUGUAUGACAAACUUGUCCCAUCACACAUUCAGGUCCCACACUUGAAUGUCUAUCAAAUGUUGUGUAGUAUAUAUUGGAAGUAGUGCUAUGACUGUGGAAAGUUAAUAUGUGAGUUAGAGCAAUCUUGGUGCUUUGCUUUGUGGAACUGGUCCAAGAAAAUUGAAUCGAAGUUUUGAUUAGUUUCACUUGCUAGCUACAAGUAUGAAAUUUCAGUGUAACUGCUUGCAUUGCCUAUAUGAGGAUGUGAAUGAAUAAGUGAUGUUAGUGUUAAGUUUUUGAAAGCAUUUCUAUUUCUUAGCCAUGAAUAUCAAUGUGUAACCUAAUUCUAGCUGGUUUUACGUUGUAAUGACGUUUGCUGAAAGGCAUAUCAUAGACAGACACGCACAAUGUAAACAUGAUUUAGUUCCGAGUAGUAAAUGUUCCGGUUCGGAAUAAAUGCCGUGGAAUAAAGAAUGGAUGACACGAACAUAAAUUCCGCACAUUCCAUCGAACAGGAACAAAUACCGUAGGCCUAACCUAUUCCAGUCAUUAUUGAAUGCAAAAUGGACUCGCCCAACUUGUCCACAUCCGGGAUUUCUCUAGCCCGAAAUACGUGUGAAUCAUGUUAGAUCUAGGUGAAAAUUAAAUUAAUAAGCGGCCAUUUGCCACACACAGCAGGAAGGUGCAACAGACGAUUAUGGAGACGAAUACACUGCUCAUUGUACUAUGUAUCGGACGAGAUCAAGGAUAAGUCUGCUCCAUUGAAGCUUGUAUUAACUAGUGACCAGAAAUUAACAACCAUCAGAAUGUGCCAUAUUGAUCACUGUAAGUUUACCAAGACUGUAGAUCAAAUUGAAAUACAACGAUAUUUGGACAAUUCUUCAGUAUUGUCAGAAUUUCGAUCAGGACCCUUAUCACCCGACAUGUAGAUAUUAUAUGUACAUCCUUGAAAUAAUAAUUUGAAAUAGAUGCACAGAUUUUUAAAGAAAGGUGAACCAUAUCUAAUGCCACUUUAGGCUGCCCUAUUACACAACCACCGAGUUAUAUGAUGUUAAACAAAUUUAAGGUUUAGCUUGCUAUUAGGUCGGGCCUAAAUGGCACUAAGUGAAUGCAUAUUAUCAAAUAUUGUGAUGGUGUUUAUUUGGAUUGGUACAUAUGCAUUAUACCAGAUACCUGCCUGCCAUAUUUAAUUCACGGUAGGUCACGUGAUGCGAGUACGGAAAGGUGAAAAAAUAUAAAACUGAGAUGAAAAUAACCCUAACCCUAACCCUGCUAAGUAUCCGGAAUAAUGCAUUCUAGCCAAGACAAAUGAUGCCACUGACGAGAAUACUGUUUUGAGUCCUAUUAUAAGGAACUUUCACACAUGAUAAUUGCUUCUUGAUAGUCACAGGAUUUGUUCCAUAUGUAGGAUGUGUGUGAAAGUUCCUAUUUACCCGGAAUAAAUUCUGUGUGUGCGGAACAAAAUAAUUGUUCCGCAUGCACUAUUACAGGAACAAAUAUUGGAAUGAAAAGUUCCCACGGAACUUUUACUAUGGAGGAACCAAAUCUUUUUUACAACAACUCAUAAUGCCUGUGAAUUGCUGAAAAUAUGAGUCUAAUACCUUAAACUUGCACAAUUUUCAAAUUGCCCUGGAUAAACUUAAAUAUAUCCAUGUUGAUAUUGAUUGUAUAAAUGCUACAGAACAAUUUACGUAAAUACCGAGUCUAGGCUUGUCUUUUUACCAGAGUUGGAAAUAAUUGAUUUUGAAUGGCUUUUAUGAGUAAGUGUGUGAUUAUAAAUGGUGACCUUGACCUUGAUUUUAUGAAUUUUGAUGUAAAGUCCCGACUAAAAAAAUAUAUACUGUGCUGCUUUUUUUGUACCAUGUACAGUGCUAGGCCAUUGGCUGAUAUUUUCACAAAAGUUGCCAAAGGUAUUCCAUGUGGACAUUAAUGAAUCAAUAACUUGUUACCAUGGUAACUUCAUGUACAUGACUCCAUCUUCUUCUGUAUCAAGGCUAUGGAAAUACAUGUAUUAUGAUGUGUAUGCCAUAUACUUUCAUCUCAACUCUUAAUAACUGCAGAGAUGCCAACCUCUACGAUUAUAUUGUAUACAAAUUUUAGCCUCAAACUGCGCCAAUACAAUUGCAUUAGAAAUUCUACAAAACUUGAAGAAAGUUCGUCAAAAUUUGGAUAUAUAGACAAAAACAUAUUAUUGUUGAUCAAAUACAUUUUCUCCAAAAAGAGACAAGAAGAUAUGUAAUGCUGAUAAUUUGGAAAUCUGUUGUUGGAGGUAUAUGAAAUUAAAGCUUCACUCUUGAUUAGUGUCAUAUUAUCUUUCAAUCUCUCUCCAUCAUGAUUUUAGGCAUUUAGUUGACUACUAAUUUAAUGGCCAAACUACUAAUUUUGAUUCAUUGAAACUACUAUUUGCAACACUUUGGGGUCGGCAUCUCUGUAAUCGCAACAAUUUAUGUGAUUAUGGUGUGAUCGAAUCCAUUUUUGAGCUUGAUUGUAGUGCUGAAUACCCUUGCCUGUAGUAUCUUAAGAAAGUAUCCUAUAAUCUUUGUUUAUUAAUAUUGUUGUCAUCGAGUACCCUGUAAUCACAUAAAGGUGCUUGUGACAUACAUUGCAUAUGGGCAAGGUGCCCUGUUGGUGAAGUGGUCUCAUAUUAUAUUUUGAAUGAAUGUUGAUUUCUUUUUAUGGUUUUCAUUGCUUUCUGAAACUGAUAUAUUUGUUCGCAUGUGUAUUUACAAACAUACCUUGAUAUUAACAUGACUGUCAAUAUAGAAUGCUUGAACUAUAUUUUCAGACAUUGCAAAAUGACACCAGUGGUAUGAGGCAUUUCUUAUUGUUUCUGGUCAGUAGUAUGUGCGAGAGAAUUAUCAGCAACAGUUUGGGGACUCACUGUCCUACUAUAGAAACAACACAGUGAUGAUAUGUGAUACCUUAAGAUGAAGAGGUGAAUAUCAAAUAUACAUGUAAUAGUGAAUACAAGUCGUCUGACUUACCAUAGAAAUUACCACUAUCUGUCCUACUAUAGAAACAGAACACAGAUGACCAGUGAUACAGAUGAUACCAAUAGAGGUGAAUAUCAAAUAUAUAUGUAAUAGUGAAUACAAGUCGUCUGACUUACCAAAGAAGUUACCACUAUCUGUCCUACUAUAGAAACAGCACACAGAUGACCAGUGAUACAGAUGAUACCAAUAGAGGUGAAUAUUAAAUGUACAUUUAAUAGCGAAUAGUCAUAAGACUUUAGAUAAAUAUGUAAUAUUUUAUAGACCCACCUGUAAAGUCGUUGAAUCACUUUGGAAUAUUCCACUCUUUCCCCGGUGGUCAGUCAACAAUGCUCUUGUGCAUUGACUGAAUAUUUUUUCAAGAUGUAAAACAUCCACUGUAAAUUUUUCCUUUACUGUAGUGUACAAAAUAUUAUUGAUUGGGUGUGACUGACUGUCAGUGAGUAUCUCAUUCAAGCACCAGCAGUGAAGACAGUAUGUUUAUCAUAGUGUUUGUGUAGCCUUUAAAGCGUUCCGCGUCACGCCAAAGACCCGGGUUCAAUUCCCCACAUGGGUACGUGUGAAGCCCACUUCUGGUGUCUCCCACCAUGAUGUUGCUGGUGUAUUUCUGAAAGUGGCAUGAAACCAUCACUCACUCACUAAAGAGGGAGAAUGAUGUUGGAUUGAAUGUUUUUAUACUGGGAUCCAUGUGUUUUAUGACAACCAUUCACCGAUUUGCUCUCCUGUGUCAUAAUGGUUCUUCACCAUUUGUCAAUAGCAUGUGUAUCUGUACUUGCAGAAUUAUUUCAUUGUGAUCCAUUUCAUGUCCACCUGCCUACCACAAGAAGUGGUAACUGUCAUUUGGCUAAUGUGUGCAGUUGUGAAAACAGAUACUAUUUGGUGGUUUGUUUUGGUUCAAAAUGGUUUCAAAUUGUAACAACAUAUCGUAAAGUCCUGUUUUGUAUGCUUCAAAGCUCAGUUGUGGCAAUUACAUUAUCAUUGCCAAACAAUAUUUUGUUUGUAUUUGGAGAGGAGGAUGGAUGAACUGAUGUUUUUCCCUUAGUGCAACUGGUGUCAGUUGUUGGAAGUUACUGGGAUUGAAAGUCUGUUGCCAUUGUAUAUAUUGUUUUUAUUUUCAAUGAAUGCUGCUAUUAUGAUUAUGAUUAUUAUUAUUAUUAAAGUGUUUUGUGUCAGUGCAUGAACAAAUACUGUUGAUUAAUGACAAUGGUCAAGGGCAUUAUGAGAUCCAGUUGAUUUUAUACUUAUAACACUCCAACCCUAUAGGUACUUUCUGGACAAGAUUGUCUAGCUCCAUGACAUGGCAACUAUGAUGUCAUCAACAGCAACAAAUCAUUUACUUAGCACAAAAACAUAUACUCCUAGAAAAUUCUAGGACUUUAAAAAAUAAAUUAUGCUUCAAACUGUUUUUACAAAAACCUUGCCUGCCUGGUCUGAAAUUUACCUUUACAAGAGGUUCUAUAUUGUUUUCAGACAGAGCAUUAAUUAGCAAGAUUUGAGUGCGUAAAUGUUGUAUGAAGCUUAUGACAAGUUGCAUAAUUAUUAUAGAUGUUAUAUAAUUUUUCCACACGUUCAAAAGCCUAAUUUCCAGAAUUCUAUUGUUAGUAUUAAAGCAGUGUUUCUUGUGCCCUGUGAAAUAUGGAGAUACAGAUGUAGACAAGAUUGUCCAGUGAGUUCCUAUACACGUGUGGCAUUUUUUGUACUCCUCAGUAUACUGGUCUGUAUAUAUUUGUUUGACUUGUAACCAACCUGAUUGUCGUGCCAUAAACCCAUGCUUCCAUCCAAAGUCUGGCAAUAUCGUAUAUUGUCCAAUAUUAUGUUAUCAUCUAGUUAACACUUCAAGGAUUGUGCCUGUUACAACUGACCUUCCAAAGUUCAGGCUGUUAUGUGGUAUCGGGCUUCCAUGCCAGAUAAGCCUUGUACACACCCAUCUUCCUCCUUGCUGCAUGCUGUUUCUUCAUAACUCAGUGGUCUAUUGGGAUUAUGGUGCACUGGAAUUUUCAAUGAUAAAGACAACAAACUGGUUUUGCAAGCCACUGACAGUAUCUAGCUGACUGGGCAUUAGGAUUCCAAUUUUGCCAAUAUUGACAUUUUCUCAUUCUAAGCUUGUUUACAGCAUUGUUUGAUCGACAUUCUAGAAGUUGGUGAGUCAAUAAUGAAGCAUACAACUUUAUGGAUGACAACUUCUUGUUUAUUGCAUGGAGCGAUGUUUCAGUGUAUAUUCUUACACUUUUAGCUUGAUAACGGUGUAAGAAUCGACACUAAAACAUUUCUCUAUACAAUAAACAAGACAUCAUCCAUAAAGUUGUAUGCUUCAUUAUUGUUUACAGCACUUUUCAUUCAUACUUCGAAAACAAAAAUCAUUUAUAUAUGACUUUUCAUCUUAAGCCAGGGCUGCUUCUUUCAAAUGUAUCAACUGUGCCAGUGGAAGUCUGAAUGUUUAUAUCACCUUAUAUUGUGCAGGUGUGUUGUUAUAAUGUUGUUUAUCGAAUACAUGUUGAUGCACAGUGUGAAAAGGGAAGGCAAUAAUGACCAGGUCGGUCUGUGUUAUACACUUCCCUUUUCUUUCAUAUUACUACAGUUAAUGUCAUGCCAUGACAGUUUAACGUAGUAAUGUCAAAGACUUGGGUGGUACUUCAAUUUCUUUUUAGUGGUACACAAGAUCACUAUUAUACUUUGGUUCAAUCUCAUUUAAUCCAUUGAUACCUCACAGGAAGAGGUAUCAGAUCAGUAUAAUAGGUGAGAUUGCUGUGUAUUGACAAAUUUGCACCUUAUAAAUACAAACUGCCAAAUUGCUGGGUUUUUUUACACUUUUCCACAUUUUCCUACAAUACAACUCCUCUUGUUUACUUUUAUGAUAAUCUAUGGUCUUCAGGUAACAUUCCGUAAAACUACAGUGAUUAAUAUUUCAAAGGCUCUGUACUGAUUUGCCAGCAUGAUUUUUUUACAAAUACAGGUGACAAGGCAAUCAGGUCGAUGAAGGCUUUUUUUUAUUACUUUCAAUGUAAAAUGUUUAAUUCUACAUUUCUUAUGGCCUAUUAAAUCAACAUGAACAUAAAUGUAAUUUAGAAUAUUUUUUCUUUAUUUCAAGUAUGUAAGUGAAACAUAUUUUUAUAAGUCAUUUUAUUUACAGAUGUGCUAAUUGCAAUUACAGUUAAUGAAAUUAAGAUAAUAUACCUAUUAAAGCAAUGCAAUUGAGGACUGAGACUUCAGCUGAUUCAACAAUAAACAUUCUUUUUAGAGUAAAUGUUUCUACUGGAUGUUGAGUUAUCAAGAUAUAAUUUGUAUUGAACAUUUUAGUGUCAUCAGCCAAGACAAGCGUUAAUCCUCCACCAACCAUUUCUGUUCAGAAGCUAGGAUGUCACAUGUUAACGCUGCAUCUUAUAUGAUGAUUUCGUAACAAUUGUUGCUAGAACUGGUUGUGAGAGACUCCAGUCCUGACCUCCAUAAGACCAUGUUUUUGCCCUGUUUGGUACAUCAAACUGCCAUUAUUUGUCAAACAGGCUACCAGUUUCAGGAGAUCCUGUUCAUUUUCACAUUGUAUCACACUUGGAAUUUGGACAACACUGAAUAAACAUAUGACUUUUA
rnacentral:misc_RNA from 1 species